rnacentral:lncRNA from 1 species
UGACUCCACAGGGGACCAAGGUCAUAAUAGGGAGCAGAAAGGAAGGAACACCAGGGAUACCGAUUAGGGCAUAUAAUAGGUGACCGACCGAAGCGUGAAUUGGUAUAUAUACCAAAACACUCAUCAUCCGAAAGGAGGGCUUGAAAAAGCAAAUCGAAUUACAGGAUGGAUAUUCGACUCCACAACGGGAAAACGAAUCUU